rnacentral:snoRNA from 15 species
UCGUUCUUGUGUUUUUCGCUGGCUGUCCUUCCAAAGCCAGUGAUUGUCAAACAGAACGUACAUUAAUGGCAGCUUAUCACUCCACAAUGUUGAGCCGAGUUUUCACGGUUACUGCAUUACUUUCCGGCUCGCCACAUC